rnacentral:lncRNA from 1 species
AUAUGUAUAAAAAAACCAAAAACUGAAAAUCAGUGCAAUGGGGGAAAGGGAACACAAAGUAAAGAGACGUUCGUCUAGUUACUGAGGAAUCAUAAAAAACUUCGUUUCUACAAAAGGCCUUAAAAACUAAGCUUUGGAAUUAGUUUGAGAGGCUGAAAGAGAUACUAUUAAUAGGGAUAUGGAAAUCAGAGAAAGAAAUGAGUUGAAAGACUAGUAAGAGUCUUUGGAGGGCACUGGAUUCCGAGGACAGAAAUUUCUCUUCUACAGAUUUAAACCCUGCUAUCACAAAACUUUCCUUACUUCUUUUCCCUUUUGUGGUAACUUCUCCAGACAGCAGUGACUAAAUAUAGGCUGUUUAGAAUAGCC